AUUAACGCUAGCGGCAGGCAUAAUACAUGCAAGUUGAACGGCAGCACAGGUAGCAAUACUGGGUGGCGAGUGGCGCACGGGUGCGUAACACGUAUGCAACCUACCCUAUACAGGCGAAUAACCUUUAGGAAUGAGGGCUAAUACGCCGUAGUAUUACAGAUGGGCAUCUAUUUGUAAUUAAAGAUUUAUCGGUAUAGGAUGGGCAUGCGUCCCAUUAGUUAGUUGGUAAGGUAACGGCUUACCAAGACGAUGAUGGGUAGGGG
rnacentral:rRNA from 1 species